rnacentral:rRNA from 1 species
UGGGGAAUAUUGCACAAUGGGGGAAACCCUGAUGCAGCGACGCCGCGUGAGCGAAGAAGGUUUUCGAAUCGUAAAGCUCUGUCCUAUGAGAAGAUAAUGACGGUAUCAUAGGAGGAAGCCCCGGCUAAAUACGUGCCAGCAGCCGCGGUAAUACGUACGGGGCGAGCGUUGUCCGGAAUUAUUGGGCGUAAAGGGUACGUAGGCGGUCUAUUAAGUCAGGUGUGAAAGCGUGAGGCUUAACCUCAUUAAGCACUUGAAACUGAUAGACUUGAGUGAAGGAGAGGAAAGUGGAAUUCAUAGUGUAGCGGUGAAAUGCGUAGGUAUUAGGAGGAAUACCGGUGGCGAAGGCGACUUUCUGGACUUUUACUGACGCUCAGGUACGAAAGCGUGGGGAGCAAACAGG